ACGAGGUGCAGGGAACGGAGGCUUCGGCCGAAGGGAACUGUUACCGAGUGGCGGACGGGUGAGUAACGCGUGAGCAACCUACCCUGCAACGGGGGACAACAGUUGGAAACGACUGCUAAUACCGCAUGAGACCACGAAACCGCAUGGUUUAGAGGUAAAAGGAUUCAUUCGAUGCAGGAUGGGCUCGCGUCCCAUUAGAUAGUUGGUGAGGUAACGGCCCACCAAGUCAACGAUGGGUAGCCGACCUGAGAGGGUGAUCGGCCACACUGGAACUGAGACACGGUCCAGACUCCUACGGGAGGCAGCAGUGGGGAAUAUUGGGCAAUGGGCGAAAGCCUGACCCAGCAACGCCGCGUGAGGGAAGAAGGUCUUCGGAUUGUAAACCUAUGUCCUAUGGGACGAAGAAGUGACGGUACCAUAGGAGGAAGCUCCGGCUAACUACGUGCCAGCAGCCGCGGUAAUACGUAGGGAGCAAGCGUUGUCCGGAAUUACUGGGCGUAAAGGGUGCGUAGGUGGCUAUUUAAGUCAGGUGUGAAAGACCGGGGCUCAACUCCGGGGUUGCACUUGAAACUGGGUGGCUUGAGUACAGGAGAGGGAAGUGGAAUUCCUAGUGUAGCGGUGA
rnacentral:rRNA from 2 species